rnacentral:rRNA from 1 species
UACGAAGGGGGGCUAGCGUUGUUCGGAAUUACUGGGCGUAAAGCGCACGUAGGCGGAUAUUUAAGUCAGGGGGUGAAAUCCCGGGGCUCAACCCCGGAACUGCCUUUCGAUACUGGGUAUCUCGAGUCCGAGAGAGGUGAGUGGAAUUCCGAGUGAGAGGUGAAAUUCGUAGAUAUUCGGAGGAACACCAGUGGCGAAGGCGGCUCACUGGCUCGGUACUGACGCUGAGGUGCGAAAGCGUGGGGAGCAAACAGGG